rnacentral:rRNA from 1 species
GAUGAACGCUGGCGGCGUGCCUAAUACAUGCAAGUCGAGCGAACAGACGAGGAGCUUGCUCCUCUGACGUUAGCGGCGGACGGGUGAGUAACACGUGGAUAACCUACCUAUAAGACUGGGAUAACUUCGGGAAACCGGAGCUAAUACCGGAUAACAUGUUGAACCGCAUGGUUCAACAGUGAAAGACGGUCUUGCUGUCACUUAUAGAUGGAUCCGCGCCGCAUUAGCUAGUUGGUAAGGUAACGGCUUACCAAGGCAACGAUGCGUAGCCGACCUGAGAGGGUGAUCGGCCACACUGGAACUGAGACACGGUCCAGACUCCUACGGGAGGCAGCAGUAGGGAAUCUUCCGCAAUGGGCGAAAGCCUGACGGAGCAACGCCGCGUGAGUGAAGAAGGUCUUCGGAUCGUAAAACUCUGUUAUUAGGGAAGAACAAAUGUGUAAGUAACUAUGCGCGUCUUGACGGUACCUAAUCAGAAAGCCACGGCUAACUACGUG